rnacentral:miRNA from 1 species
AAAAAAGUAAAUGAGGGAGAGAGGGAUAAGCGGGAAGAAAGCAAGAAAGAAGGAAAGAUUUUAGAGCGUAAAAGAGUCGCAAAUGCCUUCCAACAGAAAGUCGGAACUGGUCGACGUUUUGCGGCUUUUCGUUUCUUUCUUUCUCCUUCUUUUUUUUUUUU